UACGUAGGGUCCGAGCGUUGUCCGGAAUUACUGGGCGUAAAGAGCUCGUAGGUGGUUUGUCGCGUUGUUCGUGAAAACUCACAGCUCAACUGUGGGCGUGCGGGCGAUACGGGCAGACUGGAGUACUGCAGGGGAGACUGGAAUUCCUGGUGUAGCGGUGGAAUGCGCAGAUAUCAGGAGGAACACCGGUGGCGAAGGCGGGUCUCUGGGCAGUAACUGACACUGAGAUGCGAAAGCCAGGGGAGCAAACGGG
rnacentral:rRNA from 1 species